UUUUCUUGCGUUUGUAACUUAUCAGUGUUGAUAAAUAAUAUUGUAAAAUAUUAGUGUACACACUGAUUUCCCCCCUUUAUUAUUCAUCUCCAUCCAUCUAUUCCAUGUUCUCCUUUUCCUCGUGUUGUGUUCUU
ensembl:snoRNA F41E6.18 ncRNA